CAAGAACAGUAAACCAGACACCUCAUUUUCUCAUUUAUAGGAAGAAGAUUAUGGAUAAGUCCCGCAAGAACUAGCAACAGUCACCUAUUAUGUGGACAAUUCUACAAUGCAUGGCCUGGAACAUUGUAAAUGAUUCUUGAAUGUUUAACAUUAAAUGAUAUUAAGAAAUGGACACUGGGCAAGAGCUUCAGCACCAGUUGGGAGAAUUGGUGAUGAUUGUAGUCGGAAAGAAUCCCAAAUAUGUGAUGCUGGUAAUGUCUGGUCAUAAAUAUAUAUUGAGUGUAACUCUUUUCUUAAAAUAAUAAA